UAACUAAAAUGUGAGUCACCCGCUCAUUUGUGAGAUGACUCAUUCGGCAAGAGGCUCGUAUAAGUAAUUUAUUGUUCAGCGAGCUAUGGACUUGAUAUAGCCGAUGAGCGAUUUGCCCUACUUUACACCUCUAGUUUAGGGUGAGUCAAACUUGACAUAAAAUAAUGUUGGCUAUAUUGAUUGAUUUGCGACUGAUAUUGUGUCAUAUAAAUACAGUAUGACCUUAGUUCAUUUUUUACCUUUAAAGAGAGUCAAUACGGUGAAAGGUAGGUAAUUUAACUAGGUCAUUUCGUUUUUCGUCCGUGUACAAUAUUUUACUACCUGCAGUUUGGGGUGCACGACUAUUCUCUAUAAUGGAAUAAUAUUAGAAUAGUGACAAAUUAAUAUAUGGCAUAUAAGCAUCACUUCAGUCAAAGGUUUGUUUACACCAAUAUAAUAAAAUGGAAAGAGAUUCAAGCCCUCAAAAUUGCUGCUGGUUUACACCAAAAUCCUUGGGCCAAUUUGCCUUUCCCGCAUUGCAUCAUUUUAAUGUUACAAUAUUAUAUUGUGAUCACAUGGAGUUUGGGGA
rnacentral:sRNA from 1 species